rnacentral:tRNA from 1 species
UCCCUGGUAGCUCAGGGUAAAGAAUAUAUGCCUGCAAUGCAGGAGACCCAGCUUUGAUUCCUGGCUUGGGAA